GUUCCCGUACGAUCAUUGAAGUUAAGCAACGUCGAUCCUGGCCAGUAACUACAUGGGUGACCACUUGGGAAUACCAGGUGCUGUAAG